GAUGAACGCUAGCUACAGGCUUAACACAUGCAAGUCGAGGGACCGGCGCACGGGUGAGUAACACGUAUCCAACCUGCCCUUUACUCGGGGAUAGCCUUUCGAAAGAAAGAUUAAUACCCGAUAUAAAGGAUGGGGAUGCGUUCCAUUAGGUUGGUGGUGAGGUAACGGCUCACCAGGCCUUCGAUGGAUAGGGGUUCUGAGAGGAAGUGCCCCCACAGUGGAACUGGGACACGGUCCAAACUCCUACGGGAGGCAGCAGUGAGGAAUAUUGGUAAAUGGGCGCUAGCCUGAACCAGCCAAGUAGAAUGAAGAAUGAAGGCUUAUGGGUCGUAAACUUCUUUUAUAUAAGAAUAUGUAUUAUAUGAAUAAGGAUCGGCUAACUCCGUGCCAGCAGCCGCGGGAAUAC
rnacentral:rRNA from 1 species